GGGAGGGAAGGGCAGGGCCGUUCCCGACGCCGUUGCCGUGUGUUGCGGACCCCGCGUGGCCGCGCGCCGGCCUCUCAGUCACGGGCUGGCACAGUGUGUCCCUCAGAGCCGACCUGCGCCAGGACAGGUGGCCGCCUCAGCCCCAGUCUGGCACCAGCGCUCACCUUCACCGCACUCCUGGUGCCUCACUGCGUGCGUUUAAUGGCUGCUUGCUGAAGUCUGUACGCAGCCGUGUGCUUGGAGAUGUGCCCCCCUCGCUGCGACCGAAGGGAAAUGUGAUCAGAAAGGAGAUGUGAAUUGGUCUGGGCUACCUGCUUGCAGGGAGGGCCUCUGCGCCGUGCCCCUCACUACAACACACUGAGGCCCUGGAGUGUGUCCAGAGAAGGGCAACAGAACUGUGAGGGGUCUGGAGCACAAGUCUGUGGGGAGCGGCUGAGGGAACAGGGAUUGAUCAGUGUGGAGUAGAGGGGGCUCAGGGGUGACCCUAUUGCUCUCUACAACUGCUUGAAAGGAGGUUAUGGCGAGAUGGGGGUCAGCCUCUUUUCUCAGGUAACAGCCAUAGGAUGAGGGGCGGUGGUCCCAAGUUGCACCAUGGGAGCUUCAGGCUGGAUGGUAGGAAAAACUUACUAGGAAGGGUGGUCGGGCACUGGAAUGGCCUGCCCAGGGAGGUGGUGUAGUCGCCAUCCCUGGAGGCAUUCAAGACACAUGGAUGUGGCACUGAGGGACAUGGUUAGUGGGCAUGGUGGGGACGGGCUGAUGAUUGGACUAGAUGAUCUUAGAGGUCUUUCCCAACCUGAUUCUGUGGAGCCUUCUUUGCCACAGGUUCGGCCCAGGUGUUUGGUUUAGUACUGGUAGGCACCUCCAUUGUAUUAUUGUGAAUGGUUAUUUUAGUAAACAUGGGUUGAACCUUCAAGACCAGCGGAAAGAAUUCCUGUUCCUCUAAAUUGUAUGCAAAAUUUGAUUGGAGAGCAAAACGGGAGCCGACAUACUUGCUUGGCCACAUUCUGAUAUGUUUCUAAAUGGCUGGAAAUAGAAGCACCUUUUGCACAGAAUCAGAAGCCACAUGGCAGGUCCGGUGGCCUGCAUCCCAAGGGUGGUUCCAGGGGUGGACCAACACAUUUGCCAUUGGCCCUUUGUAUUUUUGCUGUCACAGGGAUGCGGAGUUUCAUGUGGGGGAAUCACUGACAGGUCAGCUUCAGUUGUUUGAUUUCAAUCCUGAUUGCCUCUCUAUGGGGAGAGCUCCCUAGAUACAAGGAAAAAAUCUUUUAGAGUGAGGGUGGUGAGGCAGUGAGGUUACCUAGUGUUGUGGUUGAUGUCCUGUCCCUGGAGGCUUUCAAGGCGAGCCUGGAUAAGGCCCUGGGCAACCUGAUCUAGCUGUGGUGUCCCUGUUCACUGCAGGGGAGUUGGACUAGAUGGCCUUUGGAGUUCUCUUUUAACUCUAAGGAUUCUAUGGUUCUAUGAGAGGUGGUGUAUCUUAAGAGAUAGCAGGUGGUCAUUCAUUUUUUCCAGCGUGGCUUCUUAAAUGAGUCAUUUGACUCUUAAAACACUGGAGUGCUACAGGAUAAAAAUAAACUAGAAAGUAUUUCUCUUAUUUGGUGAUAGGAGGGUGUGAUGGUUGUGUCAGAACGAUCUUGGCUUCAGCAGCAGUGCUGUAUUACAGUUUGGGAAGAUGGAGGAGUCGCAGCGACGUGAAGAAAUGCGGUGUCUAACAAGCAAGUGUAAACUCUUAACCCAGAGCUUCAUUUGGUCCUACGUGCAACUGAGUGAUCCAGCAGAGAACGUCCGAUGACACAAAUGCUACUGGUUGAACUGACGUUUCUGCAUCACAGUGCUCAGUCAAUUCAUCAGUUACAUUAGGACAUUCAAAAACGUAAAAGAGGUGUGUGAAAAUAGCACUGAAAAUGCAACUUAGAAGAAAAGACGUUCAGUUAAAGCACACGAGGACAAGCCUAGAAACCUGUUCUGGCAGUCCUCAGCUGAAAGUACAUCCUUCACCUCACCGAAGUCAGAUGCUUCUUCAGCACCCAGUGCCUCCAUACAGCAGCACGAUGAAUUCCAGCCACUACAUAUGGAUCUGCUUACGGAGUGCCGAGGACCUACAGGGGAAGAAAGAGGCACGUGUCCCCUCAUGGCUGGCACGAGUAUGUUACCUGUGUGCUUUAGAUGUCAUCCAGUUACAUUCUGCCUCACUUUCGCAACAAGGUGGUGACCGAAAGGCUUUGUUUCCUUAACUGCCCGUGUACGUUGCAGCUCGACCUCUUGGUACAAUCGUACGAGGAAAAUGCCACCUGCACCGUUGGUUCUAAAAGCCUACGGACAAAGCAGCGUCGUAACCACCGGCAACAUAACCACGUCGAUGCCGGGAUUUGAGCUGACAGCCGACGCGUGCCGCAGGCGGCGCUGGAAAGGAGCGGCGGG
ensembl:lncRNA